GACGAACGCUGGCGGCGUGCUUAACACAUGCAAGUCGAACGGUGAAGCAGAGCUUGCUCUGUGUAUCAGUGGCGAACGGGUGAGUAACACGUGAGUAACCUGUCCUUGACUCUGGGAUAUGCGUUGGAAACGACGUCUAAUACCGGAUACGAGCUCAGACCCCAUGGUGAUCGGUUGGAAAGAUUUUUUGGUCAAGGAUGGACUCGCGGCCUAUCAGCUUGUUGGUGAGGGAAGGGGCCACCAAGGCGACGACGGGGAGCCGGCCUGAGAGGGGGACCGGCCACACUGGGCCUGAGAACCGGCCAAGAUUCCUCCGGGAGGCAGAGGUGGGGAAUAUUGCCAAAGGGGCGAAAGCUGGAUGAAGCACCGCCGCGUGGGGGAUGACGGCCUUCGGGUUGUAAACCUCUUUUAGUAGGGAAGAGGCGAAGGGACGGGAACCUGUAGAAAAAGAACGGCUAACUUACUU
rnacentral:rRNA from 1 species